UCUAGUGCCUCUCCAACCCUUUCAUUUCUGCAGAAUAAUGAACCUGCAGAAGAUUCCGAGUUUUCCCUCUGGUUUAACAACCCUACCCCUGCCUGUUGCUGGUGUGCUCCGUCCCUGCAGUUAGCCAGAGAAAUAAUGAUAAUUUACACCCAGCUCGCGCACUUUUCCGGCAUUUCUGCGAGCAAUCCAGAGGCGACAGGAGCAAAUUGAUGGAGACAGGAAUGGGAGAAUCCCACCCUGUCAGAAGAUGAAUGAGCUGAGCUUGCAUGAUGUGAACCAUGGCUGACAGAAGCGAGGGGGAAUCAAAGAGUGAGCAACUUUUGACAACACACGCUUCACAGCUCUGACCACUGAGGAUCUACAUGAUUAUCUCCAGACAAAAUAACUGCUACAGCAAAGACACACGUUCCAAGCAGCCAGCCCAAGGUUAGCAAGCACUGAGUGAGCACAGCCCUUCAGAACCAGAGACCUUCACCUUGAUGCCUCCCAGGUCCUCAGGCUGAUACUUUGAUGGGAUAGAGACUCAAGUUCAAAUGGACAUUCUGGCCUUUCCUGAAGCUGAUAAUGGAAAACAAAGCCCUUUUCUCAGCUAUCUCAGCUCUUAACUCGACCCUGCCCUCAGUGUAGACACAAAUCAGCUCACAGAAUCUCUGUUCUUUAUUUAUACAAAAUUUGAGAGGAAAAAAAUCUCAUCCAGAAAUUAUUUUUUUUCCCAAAUUACACACCUGGCCUUCAGAUUUGGCUUGGGACUAACUCUUCCAUUUUUGGGAGAUCUUAAUCUGUUCUUCCUCUACUUCUGUCUGCUGAAACAAGACUUUUAGGAAAUGUAAAUUCCCAUUCCUCUUGAGAAGGGAGACUAUAAACUCACGCCAUCUCCUGCAGGAGAGGUUCAUAAUUUCCCAUCAGGUAAUACAAUAUCCCACAAAACAUAAGAUAGUGUGUUUUAUGCAGAAAUUCGGGACUUACAUACCUUUCCUAAACCCAAAAUUCCCCUUGAUAUUAUUAUUUCUUGUUAUUAGAUAAAGUCACAUCACCAAUUUUGACCUUUUGAUGGUAUUUUUGUUUUACCAGUCCUAUGCAGAUGGGCACUUUUUCCUUUCAAACUUUCUUCCUACCCUUCCUGCAAGCCACAUUUCCCAAAAUUUCUCAUUCUCAGGAUAAAUUUGAGACUGGAACCUCUGACUCCUGUGCACUGUGAUUAUCUAUGGGAAAAGUAAAACUGAGCCAGCUCUAGGGAGAGCUUUUCCUUUGGAUCUCUGCAGGGACCCAAGGGUAUUGCUCCUUUGAUACUAUUUUUUUUAGGAAUCCUCAACCCUGUCUGUGUGGAGUGGAAAGUUUAUUGUGAUAUGACCAUGUGGUAAUAAUAUAUCAAAGUCCAGCAUUAAAAUAUUUCUAAAACAUGAAAAAUGGGCUGUUCAUAAUGUUAAAGAAGGACAAGAAAAUUUGCUGACAAUGUGGGUAAUUUCCUGAAAUCAGAGUUCAUCUUGUAGCAAACCCAUGUUCUGUGGACAACAGAAACAAGCAGAGCAUAAAUCACUCACUCACACACACAAUCUCCUCUGUCCUGCUAAUCACAUGGGUUUGGGAUCACAGCAAAGCACACUGUGCCUCUUUCAGUACCCAUGGAAAACAAUGGAAAGGCUCCUGUUGACAUGGACAUCAAGGGAAGACUAUUUCAUCUGGCUGUAACAACACUAAGGUCUUAAAACAAGACCUGCAGAGAGAUUUUUAGCCAAAAUACCCCAUACUGAAACUAGGUAUGAAAAUGUACUUGUAAUCUAUACAGUGAAUACACACAUGUUAGAAAGUCACAAAGCAGAAAAAUGGAUUUAUCCAUUUCUCACACCUGGCAAAUGGAUUGUGGAAAGUUCCUCCUAAUUUAAUCAAUAGUCUUAAAUGUAUGAUCAAAUAUUCUGAUUUUUUACACAUCUGUAUAUUAGUUUAUAUGUUGGAGCAUAAACACUCCCAAUAAAUUUGGGAACACACAUAUUAAAACUAUGACCACAUUUGCAUUCUAAUGUACUAAUACUUUAUAAAUAAUUGUAAGGGUAUUGUAUUUUGAAGGGCAUUAAAACUCAUUGUAUUUCCUUGGGUUUGCUUUCAAGAAGUAGCAAGUUUUUCUUACUCUUUAUAAGAAUUUAAAACAGCAUGGUUUAAAUGUAGUUCCAUUUUCUAGUUUGGGACACAUCUUACUCUGAAAUACUGUAGAACUUCAACACUUCUUUUCAGCAAGACAAGAAAAUUUGGGGGGGCUAGGGGCAUGUCCACCUCUCACUGCAUUACCAGAAGAGAAAGAUCCCUUUAGCACAGGGAAAGUAAGGCUGAGUAGCAAAUAAAUUAGGUACAGACAUGAGAUAAUGGAAAGCACAGUAAUCAGAAGACAUGUUUUAUUAUUACAGGUGGAGAUAAUGUUGGGAAAAAAAGUGUGGGAGAAUGCCUUGGGCUUGUUUUAAGACCAACAUAAAAAUGCAAUACCUAUAUGUUUGCUUUAGCAUCUUUUUUUUAAAGUAAGGUUUAUUUUUGCCCCAUAUUUAUUUACUCUUCAGAUGUAAAAACAGGCUUAUUGACAUAUUUAAACGUGCCAAAUACUUGCGAUUUAACAUGACCGUGUCUGAAUGCGAGGUCAUUGUUUUGCUUACAGCAAAAAUUUCCUACAGUCACAUAAAAAAUUUCCUACAGCCCCCCUCCAUAACCUCCAGUGGGGUCAAUAUGAAAUUCUUCUACUGACCUACAGCAGGUUUCCAGAUUUUUAUUAUCUUUUAGAAAACAGGUAAAAAGUUCAGAUAAAAACUUUGGUCCACUCUAAGGUGUUUCUUCAUAUGACCAUGAUUAUUGUCCUGACCCAUCAAAUCAUCCUUUUUAGGUUCUACAUCUCAAACUGCAAGAGAAAAUUGUUUUUAUAAUGCUCUACCAUUAGCCUUAAUUUCAGAAAUAAGUAAGCCUGGAAAAAUGUG